rnacentral:rRNA from 1 species
GCUAAACAAACUUGGAAAUAGCUGGUUCUCUCCGAAAACUAUUUAGGUAGUGCCUCAAGUAUUACCGUCGGGGGUAGAGCACUGUUUAGGCUAGGGGGUCAUGGCGACUUACCAAACCUAUGCAAACUCCGAAUACCGACGAGUACAGCUUGGGAGACAGAGCACCGGGUGCUAACGUCCGGACUCAAGAGGGAAACAACCCAGACCGCCAGCUAAGGUCCCUAAAAUUGGCUAAGUGGGAAACGAAGUGGGAAGGCUAAAACAGUCAGGAUGUUGGCUUAGAAGCAGCCAUCAUUUAAAGAAAGCGUAAUAGCUCACUGAUCGAGUCGUCCUGCGCGGAAGAUGUAACGGGGCUAAGCCAGUUACCGAAGCUGCGGAUGUGCAAUUUAUUGCACGUGGUAGGAGAGCGUUCUGUAAGCCUGUGAAGGUGGGUUGUGAAGCCUGCUGGAGGUAUCAGAAGUGCGAAUGCUGACAUGAGUAGCGUUAAAGCGGGUGAAAAGCCCGCUCGCCGUAAGCGCAAGGUUUUCUACGCAACGUUCAUCGGCGUAGAGUGAGUCGGCCCCUAAGGCGAGGCAGAGAUGCGUAGUUGAUGGGAAACAGGUCAAUAUUCCUGUACCGAUGUGUAGUGCGAUGUGGGGACGGAGAAGGUUAACUCAGCCAACUGUUGGAUAUGUUGGUUCAAGCUUGUAGUCGUGCCUGGUAGGCAAAUCCGCCGGGCUUAGAUGAGGAGUGAUAACGAGGCUGCUUGCAGCCGAAGUGAGUGAUACCCUGCUUCCAGGAAAAGCCACUAAGCUUCAGCUACACACGACCGUACCGCAAACCGACACUGGUGCGCGAGAUGAGUAUUCUAAGGCGCUUGAGAGAACUCAGGAGAAGGAACUCGGCAAAUUGAUACCGUAACUUCGGGAGAAGGUAUGCCCCAAGUAGGUGAACUCGUACAGAGGGAGCCCAAAGGGGUUGCAAAAAAUCGGUGGCUGCGACUGUUUAAUAAAAACACAGCACUCUGCAAACACGAAAGUGGACGUAUAGGGUGUGACGCCUGCCCGGUGCUGGAAGAUUAAAUGAUGGGGUGCAAGCUCUUGAUUGAAGUCCCAGUAAACGGCGGCCGUAACUAUAACGGUCCUAAGGUAGCGAAAUUCCUUGUCGGGUAAGUUCCGACCUGCACGAAUGGCGUAACGAUGGCCACACUGUCUCCUCCUGAGACUCAGCGAAGUUGAAAUGUUUGUGAUGAUGCAAUCUCCCCGCGGAAAGACGGAAAGACCCCAUGAACCUUUACUGUAGCUUUGUAUUGGACUUUGAACAGAUCUGUGUAGGAUAGGUGGGAGGCUUUGAAGCGAGGUCGCUAGAUCUUGUGGAGCCAACGUUGAAAUACCACCCUGGUGUGUUUGAGGUUCUAACCUAGGUCCCUUAUCGGGAUCGGGGACAGUGCAUGGUAGGCAGUUUGACUGGGGCGGUCUCCUCCCAAAGUGUAACGGAGGAGUUCGAAGGUACGCUAGGUACGGUCGGACAUCGUGCUAAUAGUGCAAUGGCAUAAGCGUGCUUAACUGCGAGACUGACAAGUCGAGCAGAUGCGAAAGCAGGACAUAGUGAUCCGGUGGUUCUGUAUGGAAGGGCCAUCGCUCAACGGAUAAAAGGUACUCUGGGGAUAACAGGCUGAUACCGCCCAAGAGUUCAUAUCGACGGCGGUGUUUGGCACCUCGAUGUCGGCUCAUCUCAUCCUGGGGCUGUAGCCGGUCCCAAGGGUAUGGCUGUUCGCCAUUUAAAGAGGUACGUGAGCUGGGUUUAAAACGUCGUGAGACAGUUUGGUCCCUAUCUUCCGUGGGCGCUGCAGAUUUGAGGAAGCCUGCUCCUAGUACGAGAGGACCGGAGUGGACACACCUCUGGUGUAUCGGUUGUCACGCCAGUGGCAUUGCCGAGUAGCUAUGUGUGGAAGAGAUAACCGCUGAAAGCAUCUAAGCGGGAAACUCGUUUCAAGAUGAGAUCUGCCGGGGGCUUGA